rnacentral:rRNA from 1 species
CAGUCGAGCGGAUGAAGGGAGCUUGCUCCUGGAUUCAGCGGCGGACGGGUGAGUAAUGCCUAGGAAUCUGCCUGGUAGUGGGGGAUAACGUCCGGAAACGGGCGCUAAUACCGCAUACGUCCUGAGGGAGAAAGUGGGGGAUCUUCGGACCUCACGCUAUCAGAUGAGCCUAGGUCGGAUUAGCUAGUUGGUGGGGUAAAGGCCUACCAAGGCGACGAUCCGUAACUGGUCUGAGAGGAUGAUCAGUCACACUGGAACUGAGACACGGUCCAGACUCCUACGGGAGGCAGCAGUGGGGAAUAUUGGACAAUGGGCGAAAGCCUGAUCCAGCCAUGCCGCGUGUGUGAAGAAGGUCUUCGGAUUGUAAAGCACUUUAAGUUGGGAGGAAGGGCAGUAAGUUAAUACCUUGCUGUUUUGACGUUACCAACAGAAUAAGCACCGGCUAACUUCGUGCCAGCAGCCGCGGUAAUACGAAGGGUGCAAGCGUUAAUCGGAAUUACUGGGCGUAAAGCGCGCGUAGGUGGUUCAGCAAGUUGGAUGUGAAAUCCCCGGGCUCAACCUGGGAACUGCAUCCAAAACUACUGAGCUAGAGUACGGUAGAGGGUGGUGGAAUUUCCUGUGUAGCGGUGAAAUGCGUAGAUAUAGGAAGGAACACCAGUGGCGAAGGCGACCACCUGGCACUGAUACUGACACUGACGUGCGAAAGCGUGGGGGAGCAAACACGAUUAGAUACCCUGAUAGUGCCACGCCCGUAAACGAUGUCGACUA